GACUUGAUGUAAGAGCUGCCAAUUGUUACCUCUUUUCCUUUGUGCAGAUUGUCAUUAUCUAUAACUAAGGAUUGUUCUCUGGGGUGAUCGGGCGGUUGAAUUUGAUGCAGACGCGGUUCGUGCCAUGGGUGACAAAGAGCCAGUUAUUUCUAUCUUUGUGGGAAGAUUGCCUAAGUCACACCGUGGUGUUACAGGGUUAAGUGGUAGCUCUGCCUGUCGCUGGUACAUUGACGAGGAUAUACCUGAUGUCAAUUCCUUCCGUGCAAGCCUUGGAGGCCAGUUUACUCCUCUGACUGCCUAUAUCCCCACGGUGCCCGAUGCCCUUCCAACCCAUGUCUAUGCGGAUCCUAUUGAGAUGACCAUGAAAGAGCUCAACGGGGUUGAUCCCUUCGUUGAUAUGGACAAAAGGUAUAUCUUCUUCUGGCUUGUGGCAAGCUUUGUUGGUUUCCGUUGAUUGCAAUUGUCUGGUGCUUCGCAACGCCUAGGUAGUCUACUCUCGAGUCAUGGUUGCAGCGCCCAGUUCGACGAGGUGCAGUGCCCCAAGCGCCCAGGAUGGCCCCUCAACCUGCUCGUGAGGUGGGUGGGAGAUGGAGGUGCCGCUAACUUCCUCAUCCACAACAUCAGGCUUUCUGAGGCGGCCCUCCGCUCUCGCUCAAGCCACUGCAGCCUCGAGGAUCAAAUCUUCCUAGGGGAAAUGUCCCCAAGCAGAGAAGGGAUGGCACGACCUGUGCGGAGGCAGUCGUCGUCAUCCUUGGCAUCCAGCUGAGCGCCUCGUCAGAGAGGUGUACCUCUCCUUUCCAGCCAUCCUCUUACAAUGAUUUUAUCUAAUUCAUGGGAAUUCUCAGACGAUGAGGAUAAAAAGUUUCCUUUUGAUGAAUUGAAGCAUAAAAUCUGUAUGCUAGAUUUAAAGUAAAUCCUAUAUUAUAUGCUUAUUGAUAUUUGCAUCCCUCUUUUUCCUAAUAUUCUGUGAUGCGUUUCUUGUUGAUUCCAUUUAAGUGGUACUUCUUUACAACUCUAUCUACAAAUCCUAGAAGCUGAGUUGAUUCUAGGCGGGUGUUUCUGCAGACAUCUUGUUUAUUUUCUUGGUAUGCUGGAUUCUUGUUGGCUGCGGGCUCUAUAAAUGCCAUUCAUGAUCCAUUUAACUUUACGUGUUAAUAACUUUGAUUUGAAAUGACGAGGCAGCCUCGGGUGGGAGAAGGAACAACAUCACGUCGAGAAGGAGGGGCAUCACACGAUGCGUUGUGGAUCACAAGGAUAAAUGUGACCAAAUUGUUCAUGGAGCACAAGAUGUAUGUCUCCUGAUCAAAAGCAAGUGGUUUCUUCUGAUUUCCAUCGCCUUUCCUUUCCAGGUUUUGCAUGUUCGAAUGAUGGGACAAGCCAAAUUGUCAAAAAGGCAAUGUUCGCUGAGCAGAACCUGGUUGUGCCAUAUGAUUAUCACCAUUACAAUCCAUGAAUAUUUAGUUAUGCCAUGCAGGUGAGUCAUGCAAAGCUAAUACAAGAUGAUGCGCUCGAAAUGGAGGAUUUAAUUUGGUACGAC